AAAGGGCUUAGCUCAGUGGUGUGUGGAUAUUAUCCAUAUUAGAGCGCUCGUAUUCCCCACAUUGGAUAACGUGAAUACGGAUGGCUGUCGUCGGUUCGAAUCCGGCACCCUUUU
rnacentral:tRNA from 1 species